rnacentral:rRNA from 1 species
UACGUAGGAUCCAAGCGUUGUCCGGAUUUACUGGGUGUAAAGGGUGCGCAGGCGGACUUGUUAGUCAGAGGUGAAAUCUCACUGCUCAACAGUGAAACUGCCUUUGAUACUGCAGGUCUUGAAUCCAGAAGAGAGUUGUGGAAUUCCGAGUGUAGCAGUGAAAUGUGUAGAUAUUCGGAAGAACACCAGCGGCGAAGGCAGCAACUUGGUCUGGUAUUGACGCUCAGGCACGAAAGCAUGGGGAUCAAACAGGA